rnacentral:rRNA from 1 species
UGAACGCUGGCGGCAGGCCUAACACAUGCAAGUCGAGCGGUAGAGAGAAGCUUGCUUCUCUUGAGAGCGGCGGACGGGUGAGUAAUGCCUAGGAAUCUGCCUAGUGGUGGGGGAUAACGUUCGGAAACGGACGCUAAUACCGCAUACGUCCUACGGGAGAAAGCGGGGGACCUUCGGGCCUCGCGCCAUUAGAUGAGCCUAGGUCGGAUUAGCUAGUUGGUGAGGUAAUGGCUCACCAAGGCUACGAUCCGUAACUGGUCUGAGAGGAUGAUCAGUCACACUGGAACUGAGACACGGUCCAGACUCCUACGGGAGGCAGCAGUGGGAAUAUUGGACAAUGGGCGAAAGCCUGAUCCAGCCAUGCCGCGUGUGUGAAGAAGGUCUCCGGAUUGUAAAGCACUUUAAGUUGGGAGGAGGGUAGUAACUUAAUACGUUGCUACUUUGACGUUACCGACAGAAUAAGCACCGGCUAACUUCGUGCC